ensembl:lncRNA
GUCAAAGAUACACUUCAAACUGAAGCAAAGCAACACUAAAAAGGCCAACAACCUAUAAGAGAGAGAGUAACAAAAGAAAGACCAUUAAAACUGAAAGGAAUAGAGCUGUUGGUACAACACAGCCUUUUGCAAAAAUACAGAGACUGAGACAUGGAUGAUCCGGUGGUGAAGGUUCAACGUACACGUCAGUUUGCUGGUGCCUCACUCAGAGGUAUCAGAGCUCAAGAUCUUUAGUUUGAAAUAAGACUGACACAAGAGUGACGAUGCAUCGGAACACAAGUGUUUUGAACAAUCAGAGUACCCAAAAUGUUUGAUAUCCUUGGCCACUCUCAAAUAAUCUGUCUUCAAAACCAUUAAGUGUAUACAAGGUAAACGGCGUCAGGAGCCUAAUCUCUUCUGCAGUUUUUGGUUUGAAGUCAUUUUGGAAUGCUAAUGUAAUGAAAACAGGUUCAACAUCAGAUAGCCAUGGGAGUAAACAUUACGGUAAACAUUGAAUAAACCAAAAGCCAUUUGGUUGAAAAGGACAGAGGGCGUUUCUUGCUUUGGAAGAUUGACAACACUCAAAAGGUCAAUGUCUCUGAUCCUCCGAUGAGGUGAGGGACAACCAACAGAUAACAAAAAGAAAAAAAAAAAAAUCAUCACAACACAAUUCAUCCUUGGUUCAUUGUACAGGCACAGGUCUCUGUAAUCCGGCACAGUGGGGAACCGCCUGGUUCUCGUGUAAGGCCUGCGUCAAACUGUUCUUUGGAUCCUUCUUUGGAUUUGCAAUCAGCGACAAUGACUGUGUCAACCGACCAACAAGCUUACAAAAUACAGGCAAGUGCAUAAAGUCUAAUGAGCAUACGUACAUAUCCAAACUGCCCUUGGGCUGUAGGCACUGCUCAACAGGUAACACCAAAUACCGAAAAGGGUUUCCAAAGGUAGUUUGACCCAGACCUGGCUCCCGUUCUGACAUCAGUACAUAUUAAACAGAGCAAUGUUCAUUCAUCAGAGCGCUCUUCGUUGUGUAGCAAUGUUAGUGGUUUACAUGCGAGGUGAGAACAGAUGAGUAUGCCGGUUGGAGAUAUCAGGGCAGAUCAAGUACAUAGGCUAGUUUUCUUGGUAGGCCACCCAACAGCACAGGCAUUGCAAAAGUCACACAGAUUUCUAUUACAUAAGGACGCACUUAAGGCUGAGGCAUGUGUUUUCCUGUGGAAUGAGACCUGUUCCUGCUGUAAAAUAUUCUGGCACAAGGAAAAACAAAACAAAACAAAAAACAGGAGACAUUUAAAGAGGAAAGAAGCAACGCCUUUGCUGAAACAUUUCACUGUAAUUCAAUUAAUUUUGCCUUUCCAACAUCCUUUCUUCUUUCCCCCCGCAUUUUUUUUUAACUUAUUUUACACUCUACUACUUGCUCUGUACUGGCUCAGGGAAUUUACAUGGCUAACGUACCAAUUUAGCAGCUUGGGAUGAAAAGUCAGCUAUUCGACACAAGUCAGUGUGGUUCAGAAAUGGUUCCCUUCGUCAGAGAUGAGCUGCAACACGUAGGGGGCUGGCGUCUGGCCUUCACGGGUGGUAAAAGAAGAUGGGAGGGUUAAGAAUAUUUGGAAAAGGAAGGAGGAGGAAGUCGACCUGGAACAAGUCAAAAUCCGCCGCCGCCGCCCUUCCCUCCACCUCGCACCCCCCUCCAUAUUGUUGUGCUUGCGUGUCUAGAAGAAUAAGGCGUCAACAUGGAAGGGGAGGGGCUCAAGGCUUCUCCCUCCUGGCUCCACCCCCGCCACGCUGCAAGAUUGACGCGGACACUCCAGCCGCUCGAACGGACUCAAUAAAUACACCAUAAAAUAUUCCGCAUAUAUAUAUUUCAUAUAUAUAUUUAAAGAACAACACAUUUAAAUAGGACAACAAAAUAAAAGUCGGCUCAAGAACAAUAUUUCAAAAUUGGAUAAGUGUUAAGACAAAACAGAAUAUCUUUUACAGUUAUACUUAUUUCGAAUCUAAAAUAGUUACCGUAUAAGAAUAUCGCAAUCAGGCAUUACUCAAGCAUUAUAUGUCAUAAAAGCAAUUUGCAGUUUUCUUUCAUGUAGUAUAACAUAUGCAGCAUACCAAGGUAAGUGAGGUGCAGUGUUUUUUGAGAUUUCUUGUAAUAGAAAGAUUUCACCCCCUGGACUGAAAAGGUACCCACAGAACUACAGACCAUACUCGGUUUUUCAGUCGAAUCCCUACCGGCUCAAGACGAGGAUACUGCUGGGCACUCAUUCCCUCCGACAGGGACAAGACACAUGGCAGGGCAUUGCUCUAAGAUGAAAGAACGCCAUGGGGCUGCUACUAGGGCUGGGCAUCUUGAGACAAGUCUCAAUACUGACACUGGCUCUGUUCAUUUCAUUUCUGAACCAAAUGUUUUUUUUUAAAAAGACACCUUUCUGCCUCCUCACGCAUGUUGCUUUCCCUCAGUGCAAAAAAAGAAAAAGAAAAAAAGAAAAAGAAAAAGAAGAAGAAGAAGAAAGUAAUUUAAAAAGUUCCAGCCUGCUUCGAAACUCCGAUUCCAAAAACCAGGAGGUACUGAUGAGUGACGUUUGUGACACCCAGCCCUAGCUGUAACAAAGUGUCAAAAGUGGCAGUCCUGACGAGAACACGCCACCUGAGAGCAGGCAGACUCUACCGAGCCAAUAAAGUCACAAGAGCAUGAGGCACACUUUUAAUGACCGACUGCCUCGUUUGGUAACGCGCAUCCCUUCGUCGUCUCCUCGUUUACGCUGAGGUCUGGAUCCUCUCCUCCUCCUGGGCGGGAGGAAGAAGGGGACUGGAGGGACAGAGACUGUGGCAGUCUCUAAAGUGCUGUGCUAUGUUUGCCAUUCGUGGGCUGGGCUGUGUCACACCACGCUAGUGUCAGCUGUGACCCCCAACCACCCCUCUCCGCCAACCCACCCAAACACACAUUCCACUGUACCAACAACACCAUUGGUCCAAGACACUAAAAAUGCACUAGAAAGCAAGAGCUCAACCACAACCAUUUACUUGGCAUAAUGUCUUUUACUAUGUAGGCUUAAUCUUUAAAUACAUGAAAAACAAGUCUGCACUGCCAUCUGAAAAAAUAAAAAACAAAAACCAUUUACUGUGAGUGUGAGUGUGUAUGUGUGAGAGAGAAAUGCAGCAACUCCUGCAUUGCAAUGUGUGUUUCAAAAGGAGAUUCUACGUCUUUGAUUUUUACAUUUUAUCUUUCAAUUUACAGCACCAUCAAGAGGAAAGGCACUUUCUGUGGACUUUUUCUCGCUACCUUCAACUGCAAAUAUAGAGCAACCAAAAUGAGGAAUACUGAUUGAAGCCUCGAGACAGAAUACGCCUUUACUUCGGUUAAAAAUUGAUUGAAGUUAAUUUGUUACGUUUUCUUCACCAGGCAGCUAAAGACGCCUAUUCACGGCUCUCAUAAACAGUCGUCGUAGCGACCCUAAGUGAGAGCUAAAAGGACACAGCCGUGAGAUUAGUGUACCUUUAGUUUAAAGUCAAAUAUAACGAGUCAUUUCUAGCAGAACUGGAAGGACAAACGAAACCUUCCCACUUUUGUGUAGCACGGCUGUGUGUUGAAGAAAAAUCGGCUGCAUGAAUAACAUCUUUGUAUCCCAUUAAGCAUUCGCUUCCACAGGCCCCAAAAAGGUCUCGCUCAUGUUAGGUCAUUUCUCUGCUAGCUAAUAUUUGCAAAGCCGAGCUGAUGACAUUUCAAAUGUAAGCGAGGCAAACACAUUUGCUAUGUAAACAUGUGUUCAACUGCCCUCGAGGGUGUAGUUUAUACACCACCUGAACAUCUAUUACAGACAGCAGAGAUAUAGUGAGUCAAUCAGCCCACCAAACAUACACACACGUCCAACUUCCAUAUAACCUGCCACACAAAGUUCUUACUGAUGAGCUUUGAUUCCUUCCAAAAAACACACAGACACCCAGACACACACCCAGACACACACACGACCCACUAUAUCCCUCAGUAUUGUCCUUCAGCUUUAACCUUCCUUACACCUUGCUGGGGGAUUGGAUGAGAUUGUACGGCCGUGGAAUGUAGACCGAGGGGAGUAAAUGUUUGGAACAAAAAAGAAAGAGCGCUAAAAAUAAGAUAACAGGCUUUGCAAUGUCGCAGACUUACGUCUUUGUAUCUGUGUGCACGUGAAGUAGCUCGAAUAAGGAAACCAGUCUGAGGAAAGCAACUGUGGUUGCAAUCCAACGUAAAUCCCUCCCCCCCAGGGUUCUAACACAAAGGAAUGGAGAAGUACUAAACCUUGUUUCUCUAUUCUUUGAUCACAUGUGUCUUUGAAAUGGAUCACCAAGACUUUAAAGAAAAAAAAAAACCCAAAAAAACAAAAAAAACAUGCCCAUUCCUUUUCACUCUCCUCUCGAUAAGGAGCAGGCAUCAGCACCAGUUAAAAGAAACCCGAGAAAAUUCAAGAGCAGGAGCUCAACAUAUCGCCUUUUUUUUCUUCCCCCUCCUAGUCUGUCUGUUGUUACAAUAGGGUUGUAAUUUCUCACAGUUUUUCUGAAUUGCUAAGACAUUAAAUCCCAUUCUCUGAACCAAACAGUGUUUUGAACCCGUUUAGUCACUCGAACGCUCUUAAACCUUAAAACACGUUUCACCGUGUUAGACAUCAAUUUGGAGAUUUCAGCUUUAAAUAAGCAGGAUCUGGGGCACCACCACAGCUCACCUGGUUAAGCAGGUGACCCAUUUUUUCUGCGUUAAAUAUCAGCGCACUAAGAUUUCUCCUCACAAUGUUGUGUGUCUUGAAAAACAUGAACUCCCAGAAAUACACAUGCAACAGGCUGAGUUGCAAAAAUCUCUUUUAAACACAAUCUUGUCACUGAGCUCUCUGUAAAUACCAACAGUACCGGAACUCUGGCGUGACACAGCUGAACAGAUCACAUGUUCACUUUCAGUUACACUUACACUGUACUGUUAUGUGCUUGUUUCUUAGCCUUUUGACCUACUUAAUCCACAGACCCACAGACACUGUGUAAUCCUGUACUGCUUGUACUUAGUAGUAUUUAAACUCUAUUAGAGUUAUGCUUUUUAUAUGCAUUUAUUGGAUUUUUUUCCUGGAGCUACACAGCCAGAACGCUGAAUUUUUGGAUGUAGUGUAAUGAAUGCUCAGCAUUGUUUGACUGAGUCUAUGACCUACAAACAUUGUUUGGUUUACAGUUGGAGGAUAUUGUUUGAUACUUCCAGAAGAGUCAGAGGUUUUGUGAAUGUUGUUCAGUCACAGUAUGAGAAAACAGGGGAUCCUUUUAAGAAAAGAGUCUUAGCAAUUGUGAAAAACUGCGAUAACAAAGGCAUUCAGGAUAUAGCAUGUUAACACUUUGUCCUCUCUAUGAAAAACUUUUGUUUGAUCAUCUACAAAAGAAGAAGAAGAAAAAAAAGAAGCAUUCAACAUCUUGCAAGUUUUUUUUUUUCC